GGCCGUUCAGUCCGACCCCCGGGACUGAACACUGGCGGCCCCCGUUCCUCCCCCUGGCGGGGGCCGUCCCUC
rfam:Saccharomonospora marina XMT15 chromosome, whole genome shotgun sequence.